ensembl:snoRNA SNORD73 Small nucleolar RNA SNORD73
AAUGCAUGAUGACAAAUUGUUUCGGCCCAAUGAUUGGCACUGAUUACUGGUAAAGAGAUCUGCUGGUGUU